CCCAAAAAAAAAAAAAAAAAAAAAGGAGAAGAAGGAAAAAACGCAAAAAAAUGAAGAAAAAACGCAUUGUUAGGUUCU
rnacentral:ribozyme from 1 species